GUAAUAUAGUUUUAAAACAAACAUUAGAC
rnacentral:tRNA from 1 species